rnacentral:rRNA from 1 species
AUGGCGAACCCGAGGAGGGCCAUCGCACUGCAAAUCAACACGCAGACCCCGCCAUUCCCCGCCGCCGCCGCCGCGCCCUCGUCCUCCUCGCUUCCUUCGCCGCUCCUCCACUUCCUGAAGCGGCCGGCGUCCUUCCCCUUCCUGCUCUCCCUCUUUGUCCUCCUCACCUGGAUCUCCCUCCACUUCCGCCAACCCACCCCCUCCGCCUCCCUUCAGCGCCCCACUGUCGCCGCAGCCCGCGAGGCCGGCCUCCCUGUUUGUUUGGAAGUUGAUUGUGUUUUUGUUGUCAUAAAUUGUGAGAUGUCAAAUGAUAGAUUUAAAGGUUGGGGUCGAGGCAAAGACUAG